GCACCAAGUUGGGCAGCAGUUUAUGUGGGCAAUCUCUAUUUCUUGUGUGUCUGGGGCACCCAGGAAUGCACCAGGUGCUGGCGGGGACCUCUCCAGGGUUGAGGACAGACAGAACCCUGCCUUCAGGCAGUAAUUCCUGGCAGCUUCUUUUCAAGUAAAGGGGAGAAGAAGUAAGACAUCUUUGGCCAAGGUUUAAUAACUGUGAAGGAAAUGAAAUAGAACCACGUGGCAGACAGACAGCGGUGAGGGUCAGGAAAGCCCUGUCUGCUGCUGGAGCUGAGCCUACGCGUGGAAGGAAAGGCAGCCCUGGGGAUGUGAAUGCAAAGGUCAUGGGUGUGAGCAUGAGUGUGUGAGGACUAGGUAGAGGUUAGAGGCCUGGAGUGUAGUGGUCCAGGGAAGGACACCAGGGUAUCGGAGGCGUGGGGAGAGGGCUUUGUAAGCUGGCCCAGGAGUGGGGACUUCAUAGUAACUGUCGUGAGCAGAGUGGAGAUGUGUGCUCGGAGGACAAGCUGGUCUUGGGCACAAGUAUUGAGUAAACAUCUCAUCUGACUCAGGAGUGCAUCUCCAGCUCCAGAACUGGUCCCGGUGCCUGUCUUCUGGCCCGAUAGUGGUUCUCACUGCUACUCAGGGGCCUUCUCCACCAACGUCACUGCUGUCCUCUCCGUGACGUUGAUAUUCUGGUUACGGACAGAGAAGCCUCCUCUCCAUCCCCCACUGGAAACCCCAAAGCUAACUAAGGCUAACUCUUUCUGAUGAAUGGAGAGACUUGCACCCAUGAAUCCUUCAGCCAGCCCGGUCCCGGCACUCAAUCGCUCAUAACUCUGUUAAGAGUGCGGAAUGACACCUGCGGCAGCCGGAUAAAGGAUGAAAUAAGAGGUCUGAUAAGCACGAUUGAUGGCUGUCCUUGCUCAAGAUGGGCAGAAGGAAGGGCAGAGGUGGGCCCAGAAUGCAAAGUGAAUCUUAGGAGAGUGGAGCACACAGGCCUCUGAUGGUGGGGAUGGGUGCCUUCCCUAUGUGCCAUGGGAGACACACAGGAUUCUUGUUUACACAUGACAGAAAACGAAGCCAGAAGUCUGAGCCCAAAUGGCCUUCACUGGCUCAGGUUUCUUGGUCAAUUUCUUAACGGUCCACUGUGGAGGGAUUGGGAUUGGCACAGGUUGGCCAGACCUGGGUCCCUGUGUGUGCUCACUACGGAGAGGCUAAGAGAAGAGGACAGAAGGGAACUUGAAGGAAAAUAAUGGCCUGGAAAGUGGGCAAAUAGAGUGGCCCUGACCCCAGCUGAAUUCCAGCACUACAUUGAUCACACUAUUCUCCAAAAAUACUUCCCCUCAAAGGCACAGAACUCGGGCCAUUUUCCUUUGCUGGGGGUUAAUACAUGCCUGAUAGGUGCUGCAGGACCAACAUCAAGGCCGGUCUGCGGCGGAAUCAUGGCCUACUCCAGAUGCUGUGUUCAGGCCUGUUCAGUCUGCACUCAAACAAGCAAGGGGUGGGAACGGAGCCCCAGAACUGUGAAGUUGUUUGCCUAGGGUGCUCAGCUGGUGAGUGAUGGAGUUUGGCACACACAUACAUCCCUCUGCCUGGCUCUGGAAUCCCUGGCUUUACAUCUCUUCCUGUAUUCCCUUCCCCAACAGGACACCAUCUCCCAAGUGAACUCCAGAGGAACAGAAAUACAUCACUAAACAGUGGGGAUCUUCUCUGCAAAUGUAUUUUGUCGCAGGGUGAACAUCAGAAUAGGUUGCAUAGAUUAAGGCUUCUGCACUGUCAGAAGGCCACAUGAUCUUACCAGAGUGCCACUGUGUGUGGCCCAUUGCCAGUGGAAGACUCAAGUUUAGUGAGGCUGCACACAACUGCCUCACGCUGGUUCUAUCUGACGGGGUCUCUUUUCUGAUGGCCGCUGUCGCUCUGAUGAAGAAGCACUUGUCUAGUGUAUAUGAGUCCUGGGUUCAAUCCCCAGCACCAGA